rnacentral:rRNA from 1 species
CAGUAGCCGCGGGAAUACGUAGGGUGCGAGCGUUAAUCGGAAUUACUGGGCGUAAAGCGUGCGCAGGCGGUUGUGUAAGACAGGUGUGAAAUCCCCGGGCUUAACCUGGGAACUGCGCUUGUGACUGCACAGCUAGAGUAUGGCAGAGGGGGGUGGAAUUCCACGUGUAGCAGUGAAAUGCGUAGAGAUGUGGAGGAACACCGAUGGCGAAGGCAGCCCCCUGGGCCAAUACUGACGCUCAUGCACGAAAGCGUGGGGAGCAAACAGGAUUAGAUACCCCGGUAGUCCCUGUCUCUUAUAA